ensembl:snoRNA
AGGUGCCAGCCAAGGCAACUCUUAAAAUAUGGAUACCUUCUCUUUUGCUGUGGAUGUGACCACAAAACAUUUCCCACUUGGUUUUCUCUCUGCUACCUUGCUCUUAGCCAGCCUAUUGGGAACAUUU